UGGAGGAAAGAUGAGUGAGAGCAUCAACUUCUCUGACAACCUAGGCCAGUGUGUGGUGAUGCCAGGCAUGCCCUUCCCCAGCAUCAGGUCUCCAGAGCUGCAGAAGACGACGGCCGACUUGGAUCACACUCUUCCCAGGCCAGGGGCCCCCAAGAAAGGCUCUGGUGGAGAACCUGUGCAUGAAGGCUGUCAACCAGUCCAUAGGGCCAUCAGGCACCAAAGGGAUUCUGCCAGCAUAGUGCUCCUGGACCAGUGAUACACCCGGCACCCUGUCCUGGACAGGCUGUUGGCCUGAAUCUGAGCCCUCGUGGAGGUCAAAGCAACCUUUGGUUCUGCCAUUGCUGCUGUGUGGAAGUUCACUCCUGCCUUUUCCUUCCUGACAGGCAGCUGCACCACUGCCUGGCGCUGCGCCCUUCCUUUGCUCUGCCCGCUGGAGACGGUGUUUGUCAUGGGCCUGGUCUGCAGGGAUCCUGCUACAAAGGUGAAACCCAGGAGAGUGUGGAAUCCAGAGUGUUGCCAGGACCCAGGCACAGGCAUUAGUGCCCGUUGGAGAAAACAGGGGAAUCCCGAA
rnacentral:lncRNA from 1 species